GACGAACGCUGGCGGCGUGCCUAAUACAUGCAAGUAGAACGCUGAAGGAGGAGCUUGCUUCUCUGGAUGAGUUGCGAACGGGUGAGUAACGCGUAGGUAACCUGCCUGGUAGCGGGGGAUAACUAUUGGAAACGAUAGCUAAUACCGCAUAAUAGCAGUUAUUGCAUGAUAACUGUUUGAAAGGUGCAAUUGCACCACUACCAGAUGGACCUGCGUUGUAUUAGCUAGUUGGUGGGGUAACGGCUCACCAAGGCGACGAUACAUAGCCGACCUGAGAGGGUGAUCGGCCACACUGGGACUGAGACUCGGCCCAGACUCCUACGGGAGGCAGCAGUAGGGAAUCUUCGGCAAUGGACGGAAGUCUGACCGAGCAACGCCGCGUGAGUGAAGAAGGUUUUCGGAUCGUAAAGCUCUGUUGUAAGAGAAGAAACGAGUGUGAGAAGUGGAAA
rnacentral:rRNA from 1 species